GGCCAUAUCGCGUUGAAACACCAGUUCUCGUACGAUCGCCGAAGUUAAGCAACGUCGAUCCUGGUUAGUACUUAGAUGGGUGACUGAUUGGGAAUAUUAAGUGUCGU